CCAGCAAGUUCAUGUCGAUUUAUAGUAGCUUACCUUUCGUCAUAUUUUAGAACAUGGUUGAGUCCAUAAAAUAGGAUUUGACUACACCUCCAUUUAGAGCACAGUUUACGCUAUUUUUCGUGGAUGAAGGUUUGUGUUCCUACAACCUGU